ensembl:snRNA U1 U1 spliceosomal RNA
AUACUUACCUGGCAGGGGAGAUACCAUGAUUGCAAAGGUGGUUUUCCCAGGGAGAGCCUUAUGCAUUGCACUCUAGAUGGGGUGACCCCUGUGCUUUCCCCAAAUGUGGGAAACUCGACUGCAUAAUUUGUGGUAGUGGGGGACUGCUUUCAUACUUUCCCCUA